UUAACACCCGGAAACGCUAGUGAAACGUGAAGAAUUCGAGGAUGGCAAGAUUCGAAUCUCAGUGAAAAAACGCUAGCUUGAUAUUCUGAUUCUGGAUUUCUUCUUCUGCCCUUGGUUCCCUUCGUCUGAAACCCCUUUCUUUCUGCUUUCUCUCUCUCUUCGAACUCCCAAAAUCUCCCUUGCCGCUCCUUUUUUCAGCCGCCAACUUUCACUCUUCUCU
rnacentral:lncRNA from 1 species